UGAGGAAUAUUGGUCAAUGGGCGGAGAGCCUGAACCAGCCAAAUCGCGUGAAGGAAGACUGCCUUAUGGGUUGUAAACUUCUUUUAUACAGGAAUAAAAAACGGGGACGUGUCCCUUAUUGCAUGUACUGUAUGAAUAAGCAUCGGCUAACUCCGUGCCAGCAGCCGCGGUAAUACGGAGGAUGCGAGCGUUAUCCGGAUUUAUUGGGUUUAAAGGGUGCGCAGGCGGGCUUUUAAGUCAGCGGUGAAAUCUCGGGGCUUAACUCCGAAACUGCCGUUGAAACUGGGAGUCUUGAGUAUGGAUGAAGUAGGCGGAAUUCGUUGUGUAGCGGUGACAUGCUUAGAUAUAACGAGGAACUCCGAUUGCGUAGGCAGCUUACUAAGCCAUAACUGACGCUCAAGCACGAAAGCGUGGGGAUCAAACAGGAUUAGAUACCCCUGGUAGUCCACGCCGUAAACGAUGAUUACUAGUUGUAUGCGAUAUACCGUAUGUGACUAAGCGAAAGCGAUAAGUAAUCCACCUGGGGAGUACGCCGGCAACGGUGAAACUCAAAUGAAUUGAC
rnacentral:rRNA from 1 species